AAGCAAUUAAAGAAGGACAAACAAAGGCGGAUACUUUCCUAACAUCACAUUAAAGAUGUACAGCCCAAAGCGGAAAAACUCCUUGCCCGGUUCCAAGAUGAGCGCCUCCUUGUACCACGUGUCUGACAGCGCUUACUCUUCGUCCCACGUCAGGUUUAGCUCCGUCGGCCUUCGCUGGUCGCGUUUAAAGGGCCAAUGCCCCGCGUUUACUCUGGGACGUCUCUGGAGACGGGAAGAUGGCUGCUGGAAGCAAGGGGGAGGGCAGGCGGAAUGAGGAUGUGGAGCAGCACCUGCUCAGUGCAGAAAACCUGUUGCCAACAUAGUCAACGUUGGGAAGGAAGCCAAGACACACAAGCUGUUAGACGGCAAAUGAUUUCUAGUCCUCAGAGAAGAAUUCAUCACCAGGAAGUGCGGGAGACGACUGAAGUAUGCUGACAUUUUGUUCAUUCUUGAAUAAGGAGUCAGGGUCAGGUUGAUUCCUUUUAGGCCAAAGAUAGGCCCUCCUGUCUCUCAAAACCAGAUGUGAAAUGUCCUUUCUACUCGAAGGUGGCUCUAAUUAACAACUCAAACCAUGUAUAUAAAGUAAUCCCAGUAAUUA